ensembl:lncRNA
CCUGGGUUCAAACCCAUCUCUGUUGCUCAUGAAAUGAGCACUCUGGGGCAAGCUACUCCCCUCACUGUUUCCUAUGUCAAAUGGAGAUAGAAAUAGUAUUUGACUCAGAUUGUUUCUAUAAAGCGUAUUGAAGGGUAUGAGACAUGGAGGGAGCACUCAAGAAAUGUUAAGUUUUAUUAUUAUCGGGGAUGAACAAGCUUGGACAAGUAUUUCCCUUUUCUACUUUUGCUUUUAGAAUUUUUUUCUUCUAUCCACAUUUUCAGGCUUUUACAUCUCUGUGGUCAGUAUUUGCUGUGGAAGGCCGUGAAUAAAUAUGGUGAAUUGGGAUGGCUUUUUGAAGAAUGAGAAGUUUGGGUUGUGAUUUAAGAAAAACCACGAAAAUUUUUGUAUUUGCAAUAAAAUGCACUAUUUAACUUCAAAGAAAAAAAGAAAAACCAUGGCAGAAAGAAGAGGAAGAGGAAGGAAAUUUCACAACUGUGGAAGGUGGCAGAGGCCAGUAUCGGAGAGUGACGAUCAAGCGUAAGGUGCCUCCUGGACUAACGGUAGCUGGAGAAGCGUGUACCAUCUAUGAGGAUGCUGACAAUUCUGACCUGUAGGACAGUCAGGUUACAAAACGGAAGGUUACCUUGAUUACUGAUAUGGUACUACCUGAGUGUCUGCUGAUGUGGGGCCCAGCUGUCCUGGCAGAGAUUUUUCCAGCAUGGAGAGCCUCGAAACCACAGAUGCAGGCAAGUCUGUGCUGAAGAACCUGACAAGAGGGGCCAGCAGAGGCCACUUUCCAUAGAGCUAUAUAGCUUAGCAUAGAAAGAUAGAUCCAGAGUUGAAAAUUCUGAAUUAGAUCCAGUUGGAAAGUCUAGAUUAUUACCCAGUUUCAUCUCUUCUAAGUUUUCUACAAUGCGUUGCUAAUUGGUGUCUCUGCCUUACUAUUUCUUGAGCUGGGAAGAAGCCCUCUAUUGCAAACUCACCCAUUCCUCUGCUGGACAUCUCUGGAUUUCAGCUAGGCAUUUAGACACGAGCUGCGGACAGUCUCCUGGUUACUCAAUCUCGUGGUUGUAGAGUCUCGUCCUUUGGCUCCUACAGCAGGUUGUGUGUAUGUCUGUCCUGCCAGUUACAAUAUGGACUUACUGUAAUGGAGUGUUUACUUGCUUCUCUCCCCCUUUAGACUCUGAGGCCUAGGGGAAAAGGGAUGUGUCUUCUCUUUGUUUCUCUAGCCCCUAGCAUGAUUCCAAUCAGAUGUAGGUGCCCAGUGAAUGUUAAUAUCCUAGAGUUAUACUGACCAAGGCUAAUCCUUUAACAUCUGACAAGCCUUCAAAACUCUGAGGACAACUGUGAUUGCAAACAAGUCUCAAGGAAUAUUGAUGCAUCUAUAAACAAGAUUAUUUGUGAAAAUACAGCUUGGUAUAUAUUUUCAGGAAUUCAAUUUUCCUGUCCUUGUAAAUGUUUAUGCUUAUUCCAGUGUGUGUACAUCUUGAGGGAGUCAUAAUAGUGUUGGCUGCAAGUGCUGGUUACCUCCUUAAAUCACUCUUUUAAAGCUUUCUGGUGUCUGUGUCUUAUCACAGGAAGUUUUGGUAUUCACUCCAAGAAGACUAAUAAAUGUUCUUUAACUUCAGAGGUGUGUCUUUCUUCUUAGUAGCUCUUGUGCCUAGCAACCACGCCUGGCACUUUGUAAAAAUGAUCACUACAUACCCAUUAAUGCAUAAUUAAAUGAACAUUUCCACUAAAUUAUUAAAUUCAAUAAUAUUACUCGGAAAAAAGGAUAUUCUAUGUUCUUUCACCUUUCCCCAAAUAUUGACAAGCUCCCUGGUUCCUCGGGGAAUUUGACAUUAGUUGAAAUCAUUAUGUCUUUGGUAUUUUUGCUCGUGAUUGUUUCUUUCCUUUUGUUUCUUGAGCGCACAUUUUGAAUUAGUUUCAGAAACUGAGUUUUGGAACCUCUGAGCCAUACCAUUAAGCAAGUCCUUUAACAGUAUGAAGAUGCUUUCAGAGAGACAGAUUCAGGGUUUCCAGAGGAAAUAAUCUCCCAUCUCACCACUGACUAGAACUCUGAAACUGCCUUUCUGCCUGCUGAAGUUAGUGAUAGCGCUGAGAGGCUGCUGCGUCUAUUCUAAAUGCGGCCUUUCACAACAGCUUUACGCAGCCUGCAUGGCUUCCCUGAGCAUCCCGUUAAUUGAGGAUUCACCACCCUGUUCCUCCACCGUCUCCGCCUUGGCCUGUGCUGUCAGUGGCUUC